GACGAACGCUGGCGGCGUGCCUAAUACAUGCAAGUCGAACGAACUCUGGUAUUGAUUGGUGCUUGCAUCAUGAUUUACAUUUGAGUGAGUGGCGAACUGGUGAGUAACACGUGGGAAACCUGCCCAGAAGCGGGGGAUAACACCUGGAAACAGAUGCUAAUACCGCAUAACAACUUGGACCGCAUGGUCCGAGUUUGAAAGAUGGCUUCGGCUAUCACUUUUGGAUGGUCCCGCGGCGUAUUAGCUAGAUGGUGAGGUAACGGCUCACCAUGGCAAUGAUACGUAGCCGACCUGAGAGGGUAAUCGGCCACAUUGGGACUGAGACACGGCCCAAACUCCUACGGGAGGCAGCAGUAGGGAAUCUUCCACAAUGGACGAAAGUCUGAUGGAGCAACGCCGCGUGAGUGAAGAAGGGUUUCGGCUCGUAAAACUCUGUUGUUAAAGAAGAACAUAUCUGAGAGUAACUGUUCAGGUAUUGACGGUAUUUAACCAGAAAGCCACGGCUAACUACGUGCCAGCAGCCGCGGUAAUACGUAGGUGGCAAGCGUUGUCCGGAUUUAUUGGGCGUAAAGCGAGCGCAGGCGGUUUUUUAAGUCUGAUGUGAAAGCCUUCGGCUCAACCGAAGAAGUGCAUCGGAAACUGGGAAACUUGAGUGCAGAAGAGGACAGUGGAACUCCAUGUGUAGCGGUGAAAUGCGUAGAUAUAUGGAAGAACACCAGUGGCGAAGGCGGCUGUCUGGUCUGUAACUGACGCUGAGGCUCGAAAGUAUGGGUAGCAAACAGGAUUAGAUACCCUGGUAGUCCAUACCGUAAACGAUGAAUGCUAAGUGUUGGAGGGUUUCCGCCCUUCAGUGCUGCAGCUAACGCAUUAAGCAUUCCGCCUGGGGAGUACGGCCGCAAGGCUGAAACUCAAAGGAAUUGACGGGGGCCCGCACAAGCGGUGGAGCAUGUGGUUUAAUUCGAAGCUACGCGAAGAACCUUACCAGGUCUUGACAUACUAUGCAAAUCUAAGAGAUUAGACGUUCCCUUCGGGGACAUGGAUACAGGUGGUGCAUGGUUGUCGUCAGCUCGUGUCGUGAGAUGUUGGGUUAAGUCCCGCAACGAGCGCAACCCUUAUUAUCAGUUGCCAGCAUUAAGUUGGGCACUCUGGUGAGACUGCCGGUGACAAACCGGAGGAAGGUGGGGAUGACGUCAAAUCAUCAUGCCCCUUAUGACCUGGGCUACACACGUGCUACAAUGGAUGGUACAACGAGUUGCGAACUCGCGAGAGUAAGCUAAUCUCUUAAAGCCAUUCUCAGUUCGGAUCGUAGGCUGCAACUCGCCUACAUGAAGUCGGAAUCGCUAGUAAUCGCGGAUCAGCAUGCCGCGGUGAAUACGUUCCCGGGCCUUGUACACACCGCCCGUCACACCAUGAGAGUUUGUAACACCCAAAGUCGGUGGGGUAACCUUUUAGGAACCAGCCGCCUAAGGUGGGACAGAUGAUUAGGGUGAAGUCGUAACAAGGUAGCCGUAG
rnacentral:rRNA from 1 species